GUGUGUGGGGGUGUUUGUCCAGUGUGUGUGUGUGUGUGUUUGUCCAGUGUGUGUGUGUGUGUGUGUGUUUGUCCAGUGUGUGUGUGUGUGUGUGUUUGUCCAGUGUGUGUGUGUGUGUGUGUGUCCAGUGUGUGUGUGUGUGUGUGUGUGUGUCCAGUGUGUGUGUGUGUGUCCAGUGUGUGUGUGUGUGUCCAGUGUGUGUGUGUGUGUCCAGUGUGUGUGUGUGUGAGUCCAGUGUGUGUGUGUGUGUGUUUGUCUAGUGUGUGUGUCCAGUGUGUGUGUGUCUGUGUGUAUCCAGUGUUUGUGUGUGUGUGUGUCCAGUGUGUGUGUUUGUCCAGUGUGUGUGUCCAGUGUGUGUGUGUGUGUGUGUCCAGUGUGUGUGUGUGUGUGUUUGUCCAGUGUGUGUGUGUGUGUGUGUGUGUCCAGUGUGUGUGUGUGUGUGUGUGUGUCCAGUGUGUGUGUGUGUGUGUGUCCAGUGUGUGUGUGUGUGUCCAGUGUGUGUGUGUGUGUCCAGUGUGUGUGUGUGUGUCCAGUAUGUGUGUGUGUGUGUCCAGUGUGUGUGUGUCCAGUGUGUGUGUGUGUCCAGUGUGUGUGUGUG
rnacentral:lncRNA from 1 species